rnacentral:miRNA from 1 species
UUAAUCUCAGCUGGCAACUGU